GCUGGGCGUGGUGGUGCACACCUGUAAUCCCAGCUACUCAGGAGGCUGAGGCAGGAGAAUCGCUUUAACCCAGGAGGCAGAGGUUGCAGUGAGCCAAGAUGGCACCACUGCACUCCAGCCUGGGCAACAGAGUGAGACUCUGUCUCAA
rnacentral:SRP_RNA from 1 species